rnacentral:lncRNA from 1 species
AUAGACGCCGUCCUCCAUGGCGGCUAGGAAGGCCCGCGGGGAAUCCGGGGCGGUCCCGCCAGUCGGGCCUGGAUCCGCGUUGGCCCGCGGGCUCGGGUGAGCCCGCUCAAACGCCCCGGGAGCCACCGCCGCCUCCUCAGCGCCAGUCCUCAGCGCUGAAAAGACUCUUCCCUUCGUCGCCCAACCGCCCCUUCAGUAGGGACCGCCCCUCUUUUUGACACUGUCCAAUCCACAGUGGGCGCUUUCGUCCUCCCCGCCCUCGCCACCAAAGGAUCGUUCUCCAGGGCCAACAGUCGUACAAAAAGCCGGUGUAGGUAUGUCCGGCCAGAGGUAGACGGCCCGCGGGGCCAAUCGGAGUGCAGGCAGGGCAGCAGGCCCCGCCUCCGAAACAACAGAAAGCACUUGACAGGCUUGCUCUCCAAUGAGAAGCCCCGGAAAAGUGUCGCGCGGAGGCGGAGCCACGCGGUACAGCCACCUCUGCGCCUGCUCAAAGGCCCUGGACACUUGGAGUCUAGACACCCGAGUUCAGAGCCAGCCUCCAAGAGUAUCUUACAUCCCAGCGUCUCCUGGAAGGCCGUAUGAUCCAGCACUGGGGAGAGGAGGGAAAUCCCCAGGACUCGAAUGCCCAUCCCACCCUUGGUGUAGUGAGGACUCAUCCUGCUGGAAAGGCCCCUGAAGAACUUCAAGUUCCAAUAUCCCGUUUUUACAGAUGGGGAAACUGACAUGAAGAGGAGUCCAAAGUGACACAGUCAGGCCAGAAAUGUUGCUUCUGAAGUCCUGAGUCCACCUCCUAGCACUGCCAAGCAGUCCACCUGGAGGUGAUGAGAACUUCCAGGCUUUGGUAAUGGACAACUCUGUAUCCCUGGAGCCUUCAUUCCUUUUGGCAUUACAGAACCACAAGAAGUCAUCUAGAAUCAUUGAGAUUCUCAACUCCAUUGGGCAAACUGGAACCAGCAAAAUCUCAGAUAUCUAGAAUUGCCACUGCUUCCUUGACUCUGUGAUCAGUCUACAGCCACAGAAUCCU